UACGAAGGGGGCUAGCGUUGCUCGGAAUGACUGGGCGUAAAGGGCGCGUAGGCGGCUCAUACAGUCAGGCGUGGAAUUCCUGGGCUCAACCUGGGGACUGCGCUUGAGACGUGUGGGCUUGAGUGGGGAAGAGGGUCGUGGAAUUCCCAGUGUAGAGGUGAAAUUCGUAGAUAUUGGGAAGAACACCGGUGGCGAAGGCGGCGACCUGGUCCUUGACUGACGCUGAGGCGCGAAAGCGUGGGGAGCAAACAGG
rnacentral:rRNA from 1 species